rnacentral:tRNA from 1 species
GCUAGUGUAGCUUAACCCUAAAGCAUAACACUGAAGAUGUUAAGAUGGGUAUUAGAACACCCCACAAGC